CACGUAGGGCGCAAGCGUUGUCCGGAAUUAUUGGGCGUAAAGAGCUUGUAGGCGGUUUGUCGCGUCUGCCGUGAAAAUUCGAGGCUCAACCUCGAACUUGCGGUGGGUACGGGCAGACUAGAGUGUGGUAGGGGGAGACUGGAAUUCCUGGUGUAGCGGUGAAAUGCGCAGAUAUCAGGAGGAACACCGAUGGCGAAGGCAGGUCUCUGGGCCACUACUGACGCUGAGAAGCGAAAGCAUGGGGAGCGAACAGG
rnacentral:rRNA from 1 species